AUUGAACGCUGGCGGCAUGCCUUACACAUGCAAGUCGAACGGUAACAGGUCUUCGGAUGCUGACGAGUGGCGAACGGGUGAGUAAUACAUCGGAACGUGCCCGAGAGUGGGGGAUAACGAAGCGAAAGCUUUGCUAAUACCGCAUACGAUCUCAGGAUGAAAGCAGGGGACCGCAAGGCCUUGCGCUCACGGAGCGGCCGAUGGCAGAUUAGGUAGUUGGUGGGAUAAAAGCUUACCAAGCCGACGAUCUGUAGCUAGUCUGAGAGGACGACCAGCCACACUGGGACUGAGACACGGCCCAGACUCCUACGGGAGGCAGCAGUGGGGAAUUUUGGACAAUGGGCGCAAGCCUGAUCCAGCCAUGCCGCGUGCAGGAUGAAGGCCUUCGGGUUGUAAACUGCUUUUGUACGGAACGAAAAGACUCUGGUUAAUACCUGGGGUCCAUGACGGUACCGUAAGAAUAGGCACCGGCUAACUACGUGCCAGCCGCCGCCGUAA
rnacentral:rRNA from 1 species